CCUUUUGUAGAAUGAACCGGCGAGUUACGAUUUGAUGCAAGGUUAAGCAGUAAAUGUGGAGCCGUAGCGAAAGCGAGUCUGAAUAGGGCGUUUAGUAUUUGGUCGUAGACCCGAAACCAGGUGAUCUACCCUUGGUCAGGUUGAAGUUCAGGUAACACUGAAUGGAGGACCGAACCGACUUACGUUGAAAAGUGAGCGGAUGAACUGAGGGUAGCGGAGAAAUUCCAAUCGAACCUGGAGAUAGCUGGUUCUCUCCGAAAUAGCUUUAGGGCUAGCCUCAAGUGAUGAUUAUUGGAGGUAGAGCACUGUUUGGACGAGGGGCCCCUCUCGGGUUACCGAAUUCAGACAAACUCCGAAUGCCAAUUAAUUUAACUUGGGAGUCAGAACAUGGGUGAUAAGGUCCGUGUUCGAAAGGGAAACAGCCCAGACCACCAGCUAAGGUCCCAAAAUAUAUGUUAAGUGGAAAAGGAUGUGGCGUUGCCCAGACAACUAGGAUGUUGGCUUAGAAGCAGCCAUCAUUUAAAGAGUGCGUAAUAGCUCACUAGUCGAGUGACACUGCGCCGAAAAUGUACCGGGGCUAAACAUAUUACCGAAGCUGUGGAUUGUCCUUUGGACAAUGGUAGGAGAGCGUUCUAAGGGCGUUGAAGCAUGAUCGUAAGGACAUGUGGAGCGCUUAGAAGUGAGAAUGCCGGUGUGAGUAGCGAAAGACGGGUGA
rnacentral:rRNA from 1 species